GUAGCAGCAGCUGAGCCGAAUAAAAUGCAGAAACCUGACUGAAGAAACCUGAAGACAAUAAACACGCGAAUGCGACGAAAGAUAUGGAUUAUUAUGUGUGCUUUUCAAGCUAUCUCAAGAUGCAGGGCAUAAAUCAAACCAAAAACAAGACACGUGGCCAGGGGUAUGUUGUCCAUUACAACAUUUCCCUCCAAGACAAUUCACACAGAGGAUGGAUGGUUGGAGGUGUAUCACAACAUCUGUUCUUCUUAAGGACAGAGUCAUGUCCAUCUUUUGAUUGAUAAAGACUGCAUUAGAGUCCCACCAACUGCUGUCUGAAUAUUCCAAGACUGGAAGCAUCCUGCCCAUCUGGAAGGUCAGAUAGCACCCAGAUGGUCAUCCUGGUUCUUAAAGACAGGGGUGAGCAUCCACCAAUGCCUUUGUAACAGCACAUAGAUCAUCAGCAGUUGUGUAUGCUUUGAAUGAGUAUCUCUGCCAGUUUCUGAAAAAUGUCAUGCUUCAAAUUUUUUGUCACUUUUAGGUUCGUUCCAUCCUUCAAGUAGAUUUAAUUUGCUUGACACAGCUUAUAUUCAACAUCGACAGAGACUUUUUAGAACCUAAAAGUUAUUAGGCCAUGGUAUUCUCUUUUCCUGGGGUGAUUUGGAGAUCUUUGCUGUUGUACUUGGAGUAUCACUCAAUAUUUAACUUGAUGUCUGCAUUUCACUUGAUGACAGUGGCACCAAUUCAAUCACAGGGAUGCUUUUUACAGUUGGUUUCUGAGGGCGGAUCCCUCAGAAACUCAGAAUCUCAAAACUGUAAAAAGUAAAAUUAUACUUCAGUCCCAGAGUGUUUUUGUGACAACUAAUCAAAUCUUCAACUGAGCAUGGUUUUAAAGUCUGUGUGAUUUUUCUGAUAUAAGCUUCUGUAAGAAUAACUCAAAACCAUGGUUUCUUGAGAAGCCAUCUGGAGGUAAAAUACAAAAGAGAAUUAAUUUAGCAAAGAAUAAAACACUUCAAUAGCUAUGUUUCCAUCCAC